CAAUAUCGAUAAUCUACUUAUUAAUACAGAUAUUAUAUGUUUAUUAAAUUCUUCUUGCAUUAAAUCAUAUAAAACAUUCUUAACAAUAUUAAUCUGAAAGCAAAUCAAUUUAUUUUAAACUUUUCACUCAUUAUGAGUGAAGAUCUAGAAGAUAAGAUCGGGACUGCAUCAAAAUUAUGAUUUCAUAUAUUCGUUAAAAAUGUAUAUUCAAAACAUAUUAUGUAGGAUAUUUGUCAUCUACGUAUCUAUAAAAAUAGUCUGUUUUAAAAAUAAUUUGAAAAUUGAAUUUGCAUUAAAAUAAUAUUCAGAGUUGCGACGAAACGGGGGUUACGUAAAGGGGUAUAAGUAAGGGGUUAAUUAAAACCACUUUUGAUGGUGUGUGGAGUCAGUGAAUUUUUAGACUUUGGAAAACUAAUAAAAACAAAUAGAAUCAAGUCAAAUAUAUAUAAAAAUAGGGUUUAUUUUAUUUAUAUUGUUUUACCUGUGUCAUGCAAAAGCAUAUCAUAACGAUAAUUUUUUUCGAUUAAUCACUGCAAAGAAUUUUCACUUUAAAAAAGUUAAAUUUAUUGGAUUUUGAAUGUAGUGAAGAAGCUAACUAACAUGAUUUUUUUUUUCAUAAAAGGCUUUUUCAAUUCGUAAACAUGAUUCGAUUUUUUCGUGAGCGAUUUUUUUUCUAAUAUAAUUUUAAUUUGAAAACAUUUUGAGUUACCAAUACUUUUUCCUAAAAUUUGAGGAUUAUUAUUAUUAACAUUAUUAUUUUUUUAAAUAUUUGUCAAAUUAUGAUUUUUCAAAUUCUUCACCAUGUUAUUACCGGAUGUGUGAACUAUAUUCAUAGUAUUCACUAUAUUCAUCCUAUAUUCAUCAAAAAUUGUAUUUUUAUUUGUUCAGGUUUACAGGCAUUUUUUGCCUUCGAAAUAUUUUUAACGGUGUGAGUAUUUUUUAAUAUAUGUAAUAUUAUUUUUAUUGUCGUUUUUUUUCACGACAGUCUGUCGUGGUGGCAUUUUUGAAAAUCGUAUUAGUCGAAAUUUAUUAAGAAACAUGUCUAUAUUAUAAUAUAAACGAGUACCUAUACUGUACACAAACC